rnacentral:rRNA from 1 species
UACGUAGGGGCUAGCGUUAUCCGGAAUUACUGGGCGUAAAGGGUGCGUAGGUGGUUUCUUAAGUCAGAGGUGAAAGGCUACGGCUCAACCGUAGUAAGCCUUUGAAACUGGGAAACUUGAGUGCAGGAGAGGAGAGUGGAAUUCCUAGUGUAGCGGUGAAAUGCGUAGAUAUUAGGAGGAACACCAGUUGCGAAGGCGGCUCUCUGGACUGUAACUGACGCUGAGGCACGAAAGCGUGGGGAGCAAACAGGAUUAGAUACCCUGGUAGUCCCUGAG